ensembl:rRNA 5S_rRNA 5S ribosomal RNA
GCCAGCAGUUAUAUCACCCUGCAACUCACAACUGGUACCCACUGAAGCUAAGCAGGUGUGAGCCUGGUCAGCACCUGGAUUUGAGACCUCCUGGGAAAAUCUAAGGUUGCUGCUGGAA